GCCCGGUCAAAAAGCCUAAUGAAUGAAGAUAUUGAAAUACAAUUCUUCACUACUGAACCUUACUCUCACGUGUAAUUGCAUCGAGGUUGAAUUUAGCUCAAAAUUCAACUCCAGGUUGUAGGUACACAUUUCCCCAGCUCCUCCUAAUUUCCUGAUCCUCAACACCCUCCACCACAUCCUGACCCUUCAUGUAUCAUGUAUGUCUUUUCUGUUCCUCAUACAGGGUUCAGAUGACUGCAGGUCUGAGGCACGGGCUCCCUCCAGUAUGACGGUGGCUUGGCAUUCGGGACACCAGCUUUAGAUGGUGGCAGAGCUCUGGAGGCUGACGAAAGGAGCCGAGGUCUGUUUAGCUCCAUUCUCUUCUGCUGAGAGCUCCACUGCUCCCUCUCCACUGCUACCGUCUCCUUGCUCCAAAUAGGAUUCUCUCCUCUCCUGGCCCACUCUAGCAGAGUCUUACACACAGGCAUUCUGAGAGUUUCCUCAAAGCUUUGGCUACUACUUUCUAAGGCUCACAAACAAACCAAUUGCAGCACACAAAAAGUAAAGUCACGAGGAAACACGACAGAAACAAAAGCAUCCGUUUCAGGGUCCAGCACUGGAACCUCUGACACAGUUUCCGGGUUCUGUAUGUGCGUGUGUGCGUGUCUGUGUGUCCCUGUGUGUAUCCACUGGAAAGAGAAUGAAGGGAACAAGGGAGACAUAGCAUUCAUGAUUACACCUCCUUCCUUCUUCACCGUUUUGUUUCUCCUUCAUGCACUCUGGAAUCAACUUGGGAAACGUGAGAGGGAUCUGAGUGUGUCGGGAUGGGGAGGUGCAUCCAAGUAAGAGCUAACACAGAGAUAUAGAUAGAAAGAGCAUACACAAGAACAAUGAACAUACAGUGUCAGGGCCUAGUCCCUGGUUGUUAUUUGGUAGGAAAGAAACAAGUAGGAAGGUCAAGGAUGACCAAAUGAUGAUUAAAAGAUUUUCUGACCUGCGUGAAGACCAUGCGUUUACAAUGAUUCUUUUUCUUUUUCUUUUUCUCUACAGUCCUUUCAGAAAACGUUAUCUGGUUAUAUUAUCCAAAAUCAAGACUUUUCACCUCAAAACUGGCUUGG